AUGGUGGCGCCUAAGUCCAUGGGGGGCAUGGGCUUCCGUGAUAUGAGAGCCUUCAAUCAGGCACUGCUGGCUAAGCAGGCAUGGCGUCUGUUGGAGUGCCCAGAUAGCCUGUGUGCGAGAGUGCUUAAAGCCAAGUACUAUCCCCAUGGAAAUCUCUUGGAUACUGUAUUCCCCGCUAGCUCUUCUGCUGUUUGGAAGGGGAUUGUGCACGGUCUUGAACUGGUAAAGAAGGGGAUCAUUUGGCGAGUGGGAAACGGGACUCUCAUUAGAACUUGGAGAGAUGCGUGGAUACCGAGAGGUCAUAAUUUUCGACCAAUCACACCAAAGCGCAACUGCAGAUAUAACUGGGUGGCGGAUUUCUUGAAUGAACAUGGUGCUUGGGACGAACAUAGGCUGCGAGAACAUUUUUGGGACAUGGAUGUACGCGAGAUUCUUAAGAUCUGUACUUCACCACGAAAUGGCCAAGACUUCAUGGCCUGGUUUCCGGAGAGGAGCGGCCAAUUUUCUGUCAAGAGU
rnacentral:rRNA from 1 species